CUCCCUGAUGUUAGCGGCGGACGGGUGAGUAACACGUGGGUAACCUGCCUGUAAGACUGGGAUAACUCCGGGAAACCGGGGCUAAUACCGGAUGGUUGUUUGAACCGCAUGGUUCAAACAUAAAAGGUGGCUUCGGCUACCACUUACAGAUGGACCCGCGGCGCAUUAGCUAGUUGGUGAGGUAACGGCUCACCAAGGCAACGAUGCGUAGCCGACCUGAGAGGGUGAUCGGCCACACUGGGACUGAGACACGGCCCAGACUCCUACGGGAGGCAGCAGUAGGGAAUCUUCCGCAAUGGACGAAAGUCUGACGGAGCAACGCCGCGUGAGUGAUGAAGGUUUUCGGAUCGUAAAGCUCUGUUGUUAGGGAAGAACAAGUACCGUUCGAAUAGGGCGGUACCUUGACGGUACCUAACCAGAAAGCCACGGCUAACUACGUGCCAGCAGCCGCGGUAAUACGUAGGUGGCAAGCGUUGUCCGGAAUUAUUG
rnacentral:rRNA from 1 species